AAACACAGCCAUAUCACCCUGCAGCCCAAUGCUGAUUACUCAUUAAAGUUAAAGCAGGGCUGAGCCUGGCCAGUAUCUGAAUGGGAGACCACAUGGGAAAACUAGGUUGCUGUUGGAA
rnacentral:rRNA from 1 species